UGUGGUGGUUUGACGAUGGGGAAACACCCGUUCUCAUUCCGAACACGGAAGUUAAGCCCAUUAGUACCGAUGGUACUCGCAAGGGGAGAGUAGGUAACCGCCACUU
rnacentral:rRNA from 2 species